CCUGGCGUUCGGCAUGGGGGAUCAUUGGCGAACGGGUGAGUAACACGUGGGCAACCUGCCCCUGACUUCGGGAUAACUCCGGGAAACCGGGGCUAAUACCGAAUACGAGCUCCGAGGGCAUCCUCGGUGCUGGAAAGUUCUUCGGUCAGGGAUGGGCCCGCGGCCUAUCAGCUUGUUGGUGGGGUAACGGCCUACCAAGGCGACGACGGGUAGCCGGCCUGAGAGGGCGACCGGCCACACUGGGACUGAGACACGGCCCAGACUCCUACGGGAGGCAGCAGUGGGGAAUAUUGCGCAAUGGGCGAAAGCCUGACGCAGCGACGCCGCGUGAGGGACGACGGCCUUCGGGUUGUAAACCUCUUUCAGCAGGGACGAAGCGCAAGUGACGGUACCUGCAGAAGAAGCACCGGCCAACUACGUGCCAGCAGCCGCGGUAAUACGUAGGGUGCAAGCGUUGUCCGGAAUUAUUGGGAGUAAAGAGCUCGUCAGGCGGUUUGUCACGUCGGGUGUGAAAGCCCGGGGCUCAACCCCGGGUCUGCGCUCGAUACGGGCAGACUUGAGUUCGGCAGGGGAGACUGGAAUUCCUGGUGUAGCGGUGAAAUGCGCAGAUAUCAGGAGGAACACCGGUGGCGAAGGCGGGUCUCUGGGCCGAUACUGACGCUGAGGAGCGAAAGCGUGGGGAGCGAACAGGAUUAGAUACCUUGGUAGUCCACGCCCGUAAACGGUGGGCGCUAGGUGUGGGGGACUUUCCACGUCCUAUGUGCCGCAGCUAACGCAUUAAGCGCCCCGCCU
rnacentral:rRNA from 1 species